CUGCGAUCACUAACAUGAGCUUUCGUGAGGUGUAAUUAAAUGCACACCGGGAGAAAGGCUUCAACAGUGAAGAGCUGUGAAGACAAGAAAUUGAGGAAUCAUACGAGUGUUGGCACUCUCCUGACCCUAUGGCAGACACUAUGAUUAGCCCUGUCUCAGCAGAGGACGUGAACAUAGACAGCCAAGAUGAAAAUCUAGAGUCUGUCUCCAGAAGCCACCCCCGAGCUGCCCUUUGCCAGGGCAGGUGGUGCUCACCUGUUCAGGUUUAUGCUGCUGUACAGUAUUGUAAAUGUAGCUCAAGCCAACACGAGUCAAAACGUAAGAGGCUUGCUCAUUUAUAAGAGUGUCCAAAUGGGCUUCAAUCUAAAAUAAAAUGCAGCAGGAAAAGCA